GUAGCGGGGGAUAACUACGCGAAAGCGUAGCUAAUACCGCAUACGCCCUACGGGGGAAAGCAGGGGAUCGCAAGACCUUGCACUAUUGGAGCGGCCGAUAUCGGAUUAGCUAGUUGGUGGGGUAACGGCUCACCAAGGCGACGAUCCGUAGCUGGUUUGAGAGGACGACCAGCCACACUGGGACUGAGACACGGCCCAGACUCCUACGGGAGGCAGCAGUGGGGAAUUUAGGACAAUGGGGGAAACCCUGAUCCAGCCAUCCCGCGUGUGCGAUGAAGGCCUUCGGGUUGUAAAGCACUUUUGGCAGGAAAGAAACGUCGCGGGUUAAUACCUCGCGAAACUGACGGUACCUGCAGAAUAAGCACCGGAUAACUACGUGCCAGCAGCCGCGGUAAUACGUAGGGUGCAAGCGUUAAUCGGAAUUACUGGGCGUAAAGCGUGCGCAGGCGGUUCGGAAAGAAAGAUGUGAAAUCCCAGAGCUUAACUUUGGAACUGCAUUUUUAACUACCGGGCUAGAGUGUGUCAGAGGGAGGUGGAAUUCCGCGUGUAGCAGUGAAAUGCGUAGAGAUCAGGAGGAACAUCCAUGGCGAAGGCAGCUACCUGGACCAACACUGACACUGAGGCACGAAAGCGUGGGGAGCAAACAGGAUUAGAUACCCCUGGUAGUCCACGCCCUAAACGAUGCGAACUGGAUGUUGGGUGCAAUUUGGCACGCAGUAUCGAAGCUAACGCGUUAAGUUCGCCGCCUGGGGAGUACGGUCGCAAGACUGAAACUCAAAGGAAUUGACGGGGGCCCGCACAAGCGGUGGAGUAUGUGGUUUAAUUCGAUGCAACGCGAAGAACCUUACCUGGCCUUGACAUGUCGAGAACUUUCCAGAGAUGGAUUGGUGCCUUCGGGAACUCGAACACAGGUGCUGCAUGGCUGUCGUCAGCUCGU
rnacentral:rRNA from 2 species